CAGCAGCUGACAGAAUAAUCCACACAUUGGUUUCCUUACCUAUGGAGUGAGGGCUAUUAUGGUGGAAAAGGCCAAGUAGAAGCCACUAGAACUAUCUGUACUUAGGAAAAUAGUAAACCAAAAGCAAUGCUCAAUUCCUAUAGGGACUGAAGAGAUUAGUGCCACCAUAAGUACUUGAAGGAAGGCGGGGUGGUGAUUCCUACCAUAUGUCCAUUCAACUCGCCUAUUUAGCCUGGGCAGAAGACAGAUGGAUUAUCACAAACUUAACUAGGUGGUGACUCCAAUUGCAGCUACAGUACCAGAUGUAUUGCUUGAGCAAAUUAACACAACUCCUGGUUCCUGGUAUGCAGCUACCUGGAAUCUUGAUUGCCUUUUCUUUCCACAUCACAUUGGUCCAUUACAUUGACGACAUUAUGCUCACUGGACCUAAUGAGUGAGACAUAGCAACUACUCCAGACCUAUUGCUUUUCUGCAUGGAAGAAUUAAAUUGAGAAAAACAUAGUUAUUUAAAAAAUCACAUCGUAACUGAGUUAACAAGGCACUCAGGUUCUAAUCAUAGAUUACCUUCCUUCUUCAUCUUCCAGCUGUUUUCUAAAGUCUUCCUCCUGUUGCUUGAGUUGGUUCUGCAAAUCAGUUAUUUUUUGAAGAAAAGAAACUGUGAUUUCUUUAAUUUCUGUUUCCUUUAGUGCUGACUUGGUCUGCAGAUCUAGAAGCAUCCUUUGGUUUGAGAGAGAAGAGGUCACUAAACAUUUUAUAGCCACUUUCAUUAAUUUUUCCUUUUUUUUUCUUUAAACCUCAAGGAACUCUUCAAGAAGUGUCAUUUUUUAACUGAGUAAAUUCUUAAUUUGCAGUAUAAGAUGGCCAAAAGCAAGCCAAGGGACAGUUACUAGCUGGCUUUCAACAUUAAAUUGUCUUAAUGGUUCUAAGGCCAUUAUUUGCUCUAUAUACCUUACAUAUUCUUGAUUUGAGCUCUCAGUUGCCAAAAUCUGAUGCUGAACAUCCUCUGCAUUUUUCCCAGCCUUGGCCGCUUUUUCCUGUAAUGAUGAGUUCUCCAGCUUAAGAUCUUCUAUCUCACUGGCUGUUAACGCUUUAUAGCUUAUUAAAAAGAAAAAAAAGUCAAAGUAGUUUUCUAACUAUUGCGUAUGACAAUCAUAACUGAUUAGUUU
rnacentral:lncRNA from 1 species